CCCUGUAUCGAAAGUGACCUCGGCUUGAUAGUGGCCCGAUCAUCGAUAGUACAGGAAAAGCAUGCGGAGGGCCUUUCCCGUGUCCGCUGGACGACCAUUCCAGCCGGACCCUGGCGCCCUCCCACA
rnacentral:snoRNA from 1 species